rnacentral:rRNA from 1 species
GAAGGCGCUGCUAAUACUGCAAGUCGAGCGAAUGGAUUAAGAGCUUGCUCUGAUGAAGCUAGCGGCGGACGGGUGAGUAACACGUGUCUGACCUGCCCAUAAGACUGGCAUAACUCCGGGAAACCGGGGCUAGUAUCGGAUAACAUUUUGAACCGCAUGGUUCGAAAUUGAUAGGCCGCUUCGACUGUCACUUAUGGAUGGACCCACGUCGCAUUAUCUAGUUGGUGAGGUAACAGCUCACCAAGGCGACGAUGCAUGACCGACCUGAGAGGGUGAUCGGCCACACUGGGACUGAUACACGGCCCAGACUCCUACGGGAGGCAGCAGUAGGGAAUCUUCCGCAAUGGACGACAGUCUGACUGAGCAACGCCGCGUGAGUGAUGAAGGCUUUCGGGUCGUAAAACUCUGUUGUUAGGGAAGAACAAGUGCUAGUUGAGUAAUCUGGCACCUUGACGGUACCUAACCAGAAAGCCACGGCUAACUACGUGCCAGCAGCCGCGGUAAUACGUAUGUGGCAAGCGUUAUCCGGAAUUAUUGUGCGUAAAGCGCGCGCAUGUGGUUUCUUAAGUCUGAUGUGAAAUCCCACGGCUCAACCGUGGAGGGUCAUUGGAAACUGGGAGACUUGAGUGCAGAAUAGGAUGUAGCAGUUCCAUGUGUAGCGGUGAGAUGCGUAGAGAUAUGGAAGAGCACCAGUGGCGAAUGCUACUGUCUGGUCUGUAACUGACACUGAGGCGCGAAAGCGUGGGGAGCAAACGGGAUUACAUACCCUGGUAGUCCACGCCGUACACGAUGAAUGCUAAAUGUUAUAGGGUUUCCGCCCUUUAGUGCUGAAGUUAACGCAUUAAGCACUCCGCCUGGGGAGUACGGCCGCUAGAGCUGACACUCACACGAAUUGACGGGGGCCCGCACAAGCGGUGUAGCAUGUGCGUUAAUUCGAAUCANCGCGAUUAACCUUACCAGGUCUUGACAUCCACUGAUAACCCUAGACAUAGAGCUUCUCCUUCGGGAUCAAAGGACAGGUGGGCAUGGUUGUCAUCAGCUCGUGUCANNACNGUNAGGAUAAGUCCCUAACAUCGCAACCUUGAUCUAAUUGCCUCCUUAAGUGGACCCUCUAAGNGAAUGCAGNAACAAACGAAAGAAGGAGGGAUAANGNCAUACUGCUGGCCCUUAUGACUGGANUNCGACUGGNUAAAGGGACGAAAAAAAACGNGAAACUGCAGNUNGACUAUUCUAAAACGUUCCAUUCGAAUGAGGCUAAUCCCAAUGA